rnacentral:rRNA from 1 species
GGUUAGACGAAAAAUUUAAAUAGAGCAAUAAUUAAAUUAAUUAACAGUGAAUAUCCCCUAGUAAACAUAAUCUUUUUCUUAGGUGAAAUUUAUAUAAAACUUCAAACAUUCUGGGUGACAUUCGAAGGAAUUAUGAAAUGAGGACCAAAAACCAGGAUUAGAUACCCUGUUAUUCUUCAAUAUACUUAAUAGGGUAGUAAAAGUGAUUCUUCAAACCCAAAGACUUUGGCGGCAUUCUAACCCAAUAGAGGAGCUUGUAUUAUAAUCGAUAAUCCUCGUUUUAUCUUACCUUUAUUUGUUUAGCUUGUAUACCUCCGUUGACAGAUUACUCUAAAAGGAUGUUUUCUAAAAAAAUAAUUUUUUUACUUCAGGUCAAGGUGCAGCUUAUAUAAAGGAAAUAAUGAGCUACAAUUCGUUCUAAGAAUAACGGAUAUAAAAUUGAAAUUUUAUUAAAGGUGGAUUUAUUAGUAAAUUAUCCUAAGGAAGGCUAAUUGAAUAAGGCAAUAGCAUGUGCACAUAUCGCCCGUCACUCUCCUCC